AACGAACGCUGGCGGCAUGCCUAACACAUGCAAGUCGAACGAGACCUUCGGGUCUAGUGGCGCACGGGUGCGUAACGCGUGGGAACCUGCCCUUAGGUUCGGAAUAACUCCCCGAAAGGGGUGCUAAUACCGGAUAAUGUCUUCGGACCAAGGAUUUAUCGCCUUUGGAUGGUCCCGCGUUGGAUUAGCUAGUUGGUAGGGUAAAAGCCUACCAAGGCGACGAUCCAUAGAUGGUCUGAGAGGAUGAUCAGCCACACUGGGACGGAGACACGGCCCGGACUCCUACGGGAGGGAGCAGUGGGGAAUAGUGGACAAUGGGCGAAAGCAUGAUCCAGCAAUGCCGCGUGAGUGAUGAAGGCCUUAGGGUUGUAAAGCUCUUUUACCCGGGAUGAUAAUGACAGUACCGGGAGAAUAAGCUCCGGCUAACUCCGUG
rnacentral:rRNA from 1 species